rnacentral:misc_RNA from 1 species
AUGGCCCCUCUCGGGAAUCCCAAUUGCUGGGUGCCUCGGGGACCAGCAUGCUGCCAUGCUAGGUCAGUUGUGUCGUAAAGGGGAGGCCAAGUGCACGUAUGGGACAGGUGCAUUCAUCCUCCUCAACACUGGGGAUGGGAUCAUCAAAUCAGCCCAUGGACUACUCAGCACAAUUGCCUAUAAACUAGGACCAGAUGCUCCGACAAAUUAUGCACUGGAAGGGUCGAUUGCAAUUGCUGGUGCUGCAGUUCAGUGGCUGAGGGAUGGCCUUGGAAUCAUCCAGACUGCUGCGGAGAUCGAGGAGAUGGCGGAGUUGGUCGAGAACUCUGGAGGAGUGUACUUCGUUCCGGCAUUCAACGGGCUGUUUGCUCCUUGGUGGAGGGAUGACGCCAGGGGGGUGUGUGUGGGAAUCACAAGGUUCACAAACAAGGGGCACAUUGCCCGGGCGGUGCUGGAGAGUAUGUGUUUUCAGGUGAAAGAUGUGCUCGAGUCCAUGCACAAGGAUGCCGCGCAAGUGAAUUCGGUAGAUGGGAAGAAUAUUGAAGGGGAGUCCUUGCUUCGGGUUGAUGGUGGCGCCACUGUCAAUAAUCUUCUGAUGCAAAUUCAGGCCGAUUUACUGGGAGUUCCAGUCGUCAGACCUGCCGACAUCGAGACGACAGCCCUAGGAGCAGCAUUAGCCGCUGGAAUAGCUAUUGGACUCUGGACAAAAGACAAGAUAUUUGCAGGCGGACACAAAGGCAAGGAAUCGACCUUCCGCCCCAAAUUAGGCGAGGCACAGAGGAAGAAGAGGACCGAGUCUUGGACCAAGGCGGUGUCGAAAACUUUCGAUUUGGCGGACCUCUCCGUUUAGAUUUUGGUUUUGAUCCAUUUUCUUUAUUCAAGCUCUUUAACUUCUUUUGUACAAGAUGGCUUCUCAUAAUCUUGGUUCAGCAAUAAGUUGAUGUGUGUGUAAACAAUACUCAAUUCUUGGUGAUAAACUUUGGAGAGAUGAUUGUCUCCGGUG